rnacentral:tRNA from 1 species
GCGGGUGUGGUUCAAUGGUAGAACACGACCUUCCCAAGGUUGAAACGAGGGUUCGAUUCCCUUCACCCGCUCAA